GGCUGGCUGGACCCCGCCCCUCCCAACCCGAAUGUCCAACCCUGCAGACUUUUCCCGGAGUUCGGCCUCUGCUCAGAGAUGAGCUUGCUGGUGGGUGGUGCUGCUCAGAGAAGCUACUGACAAUGAACACUGAGCUACUGAGGGAAAGACAAGAACUGGAGGCAGCAAGACAGAUGUGCGGUAACAGUCCAGGGAAAGCGGCGGAGCAGAGGACCUCUGCAGUUCAGUGGGAAGUAGAAGUGGGCCUAGGACUCGCCACUGAGGACAAGUCUCUGGACAGCGCUGCCAAAGAAAUGGAGUGCACCGCUGAGAAUUCUCUUCUGUCUUGUGGCCCUUGAGAGGACAAACUCCCAAGUGUUGCUGCAUGCAUAUGACCAGGCAACUUCUUUGGGGUUUUCUGGCAACCCUCUGGUUAGACUCCCCUGGACAUAUCCAGCCCCUGCACACCCAUCGUCCAUGGAUGUCAGUAACAAAGGAAUAGAGUGGCCUGUGCAAACCCCUUGUGCAGUUCCCUGUUGACUGGCAGGGCGCCCACAUCCCUCACCCAUCUGCGACCGAGCUGUGAUGCUCAUGGAGCCAGACUUCCACACACUGUUCCUCAGGCUGCAGCCUCUACUAGAGCCACAGCAUUCACCCAGAAUCUACUCUGGCUCCGGAAGCUUGCUGAGAGACCCUCUGUCAGAAAAGACAGCGCUUCCAGGGGAUCCAGAGGCCACUCCCCUCAGAGAGCUGUGUGACUGGGCAACUACAGUAAAGGUGGGCAGCCAAGGUCCUGCUUCUCCAGGAAGUACCAAAGAAUAAAUCAAGGAGACUAUUGGAAAACAAGACUGGUCCCAGAGUUGUCCCCUGGGCAUGAGAUCCGGUGUCCCCAACCUGCUUGGUCAUUCCUCUGCUUACCAACAAAGAAGACUCGUAAGACUUACAGAAUUGACCUUCUUGGCUCAAUUAUUUGAGAGCAAGCCUCUGAUGUCAGGACGGUGAUUUUGCAAGCACCUAACUGGAAGCAGAGAGUGGAAAAGACACAGGCACUGCCCUCCAAGGGGGACACAAACGGGGAGAGAGAAGCGGGUCUGCCCCCCUGUGCGGGUCUCCGGGAUGACGCGAGCAGGAGAGCCGAGUGCGCCGAACGACGCCUGGAGCAUGACGACACUGACGUAAACGACCGUAAAAUCAACACUGCCAGAGCCCGGUGUUAAUCGCUGGUCGUGAUAAAUAUGUGUAUAAAAGUAAAUAAAAUGGAUCUGGAGGCUACGCAGCAAAUUCAGGGGAGUGCUACCUCUACAGAGACGGGGGGGGGGGGGUUAUAGUUAAAAAGGACUUUUUAUAAGUUAUAUGUCAAAUCCCUUUUCUUACCGAUAGGAAAAAGUAUGGCAAGUAAAUGUCAUACAUUGUGAUAAUUCUAGGGGGUGGGGGAGAAAUGCUUUGGUUGAGAUAUGUACGAGUGUGGCAGGAUGGAAGGAGGAGGGUGUAGCAAUGCCGGGGAGAUUGCAGAAGGGGUUCUGCAGGCUGAAGACCAAUCAGCUAAUCCCCGCCAGACCUGGUGCUCCCCGGUGGAGUACAGAGGUCUUUCAGCAGAAGUGAGGACCUACAGAAUGUGGCAAGUGUGUGUGGGUGAUAGGGAGGCCACACAGGCAGGGCCAGCUUCUGGGGUGUGCACCCAAAGGACCUUGGCUUCAUCUUGGGGGUCCUGGAAGGACCACCCACAGCUUUGGGGCUGUAUAAAGGUGAAGUAGGGGAGGAAGUUACCUAGGAGAUAGGGACCAUCCUGAGGUGUUCUGUAAGCCCAGUGGCGAGCCCACCACUCACCCACCCGCCCAUGGGCAGGCACUGUUGUCAUCGCGGGAACAUCAAACACAGCACAAAAGUCAAGGAACGCAGGAUAUUUGAGCGGCCCUUACAAGGGUGGUAGUAACUUCAGGAGAGGAAUAGUUGUAGUUAGAGGUCUCAGCAACCUGGGGAAUCUGUGGGAUGGAAGCAAGGGCCAGGUGAGGCUAGCUGUCAUUUCUGGGGAGUUCAGCACUCAUUUGGAGCAUUCUAGCCUCCUUUGGGGCGAUUGCUUCAUCCCUACUGCCCUCAACAAAAGAGGGCGAAAGAGAGCCGCAGGAGCCAAAUCCUUUCCACUCCAUCCCCUUCCCUGCCCAGUCAGGACAGGAAUGCGGUCUCCACCUGGCCAAUGGAUAUUCUUGCCUCGGUUCAGAUCCUGAAUAAGUGAGCUGAGGACAGUGAGAGGUUAGAGGUCAUUUACAAAAGCAGAUGCACCCUCGGUGCUGAAGUCUUGCUGCACUGGCCAUGACCUGCUUCUGGCUCUCUAGAGCCCUCAAUUCCUGAUUUUCCCGAGCCUGGUCUUCCCAAUCUCUUGUUUAUUC